rnacentral:rRNA from 1 species
AUUGAACGCUGGCGGCAGGCUUAACACAUGCAAGUCGAGCGGGGUGAUGGUGCUUGCACUAUCACUUAGCGGCGGACGGGUGAGCAAUGCUUAGGAAUCUGCCUAUUAGUGGGGGACAACAUCUCGAAAGGGAUGCUAAUACCGCAUACGUCCUACGGGAGAAAGCAGGGGAUCACUUGUGACCUUGCGCUAAUAGAUGAGCCUAGGUCGGAUUAGCUAGUUGGUGGGGUAAAGGCCUACCAAGGCGACGAUCUGUAGCGGGGCUGAGAGGAUGAUCCGCCACACUGGGACUGAGACACGGCCCAGACUCCUACGGGAGGCAGCAGUGGGGAAUAUUGGACAAUGGGGGGAACCCUGAUCCAGCCAUGCCGCGUGUGUGAAGAAGGCCUUAUGGUUGUAAAGCACUUUAAGCGAGGAGGAGGCUCUUUUGGUUAAUACCCAAGAUGAGUGGACGUUACUCGCAGAAUAAGCACCGGCUAACUCUGUGCCAGCCGCCGCAGUAA